rnacentral:rRNA from 1 species
GGCGAACGGGUGAGUAACACGUGGGUGAUCUGCCCUGCACUUCGGGAUAAGCCUGGGAAACUGGGUCUAAUACCGGAUAGGAGCCAUUUUUAGUGUGAUGGUUGGAAAGUUUUUCGGUGUAGGAUGAGCUCGCGGCCUAUCAGCUUGUUGGUGGGGUAAUGGCCUACCAAGGCGGCGACGGGUAGCCGGCCUGAGAGGGUGGACGGCCACAUUGGGACUGAGAUACGGCCAAG